rnacentral:lncRNA from 1 species
UAUGGCAAUUGUGCCUGGAGGGCACUGUACGUAGUGCGGCUCCUCCACUGAAGGUUAUUGUUGAUGCUGCUAUUAUUAUGUUUGCUAGAGGCUAUGAACUGCCUUCGUCAAUGUCUUCACCUGCUGCACUAAGGCAACGAAUUGCUGAGCAUCCAUGGUGAUGAUCGGAUGCGAGGAACUAGGCUCUACUGGUAGUGGUGAGAGAUCUUCCUGACG